rnacentral:tRNA from 1 species
AGGGGAACCUGCGGCUGGAUCACCUCCUUUCUAAGGAUGAUCCUUCAGAUCAGCUCACGCUAUCUAUCGGAUCGUUUUAGAAACAUUCAGGGGCCAACAGUUUCAGGAUUGUUGAGCUCCAUUGGCGGGAUUUCGCCGUCUUCGUUUCUCUUUCUUCGCGGACGAACACGCGCCAGGGGCUGAGCGCUGUGCGAUGUACCGACUUCAGGUCGAGUGCGCGCCGGCAUGUCUCUCGUGUUAGGGGCUUGUAGCUCAGUUGGUUAGAGCGCGCGCUUGAUAAGCGUGAGGUCGGAAGUUCAAGUCUUCCCAGGCCCACCAUUUUGAUCGAGUGCGGAGCAUUCGUCUUCUGGUACGGGGCCAUAGCUCAGCUGGGAGAGCGCGUGCUUUGCAAGCAUGAGGUCGUCGGUUCGAUCCCGUCUGGCUCCACCAGAUGGAAUUGAAGCUCGAUAGCGCCUCGUUCAUUUCGUCCGCGAAACAUCACUUCGCACUCAUUGGUCCGGAUGGACGGUGACGUGCGUGUUUUCUGACAUCGUAAAGAGGAGAUCGAUCCGAGUUUGGAUCAAGCGAAGCAAUUCGCCUGAGCCAUUCAUUAUCUCCGGGAUCAUUUCGGCGCUCGCUUCAAUCGUGAGAUUGGAUGCGGGUUGUAAAUGAUCCCUUUUAGCGAAGCUUGACCGCCUCGCUAUCGGGCCGAUCUUACGAAGCAAGCUGGUCUUUCUAGUCAAUGUCCGGCUGCGCAAUCGCAUUCAUCGAGGAUGCGUGCCUGAGACUUCGGUCUUUGGGCAGUUGUGCAGACAACAUUCUGCCGAGUGUGUGGACAUUGAUAAUGAGAGCAAUCAAGUGCCUU